rnacentral:rRNA from 1 species
UAAGGAAUAUUGGUCAAUGGACGCAAGUCUGAACCAGCCAUGCCGCGUGGAGGAUGAAGGCCCUCUGGGUUGUAAACUUCUUUUAUAGGGGACGAAACCUCUUUUUCUUGAGAGACUGACGGUACCCUAGGAAUAAGCACCGGCUAACUCCGUGCCAGCAGCCGCGGUAAUACGGAGGGUGCAAGCGUUAUCCGGAUUCACUGGGUUUAAAGGGUGCGUAGGCGGGCAGGUAAGUCAGUGGUGAAAUCUCCGGGCUUAACUCGGAAACUGCCGUUGAUACUAUCUGUCUUGAAUUCUGUGGAGGUGAGCGGAAUAUGUCAUGUAGCGGUGAAAUGCUUAGAUAUGACAUAGAACACCAAUUGCGAAGGCAGCUCACUACACAGCGAUUGACGCUGAGGCACGAAAGCGUGGGGAUCAAACAGG